rnacentral:rRNA from 2 species
CCUGAGAAACCCAAAAGAUCGAAUGGGGAGAUUCAUCGUCAGCUCAUUUUGUAUAUGUAUAAGUUAUGAUGCGGGUUACUACUUGUAGUAUUGCCUGCACAUUCUUGUAUAUUUAGUUGCAAGAUGUUGUCGGCGUGCACUUCUCCCCUAGUAGGACGUCGCGACCUGUUGGGUGUCGGUCUACGGCCCAAGUGAUAGCCUUUAAUGUAAUUUAAAAAACAUUGAAGAUCCUUGGUGUUUUCUGACCGGCUACUUGGCAGUAUUCGUACGGUAUUUAGCCGCUAAAUUUAUUAAGCGUCCAUAUCCGUCACAAGCGAGGCUAAUUUACUGAUAGUACGGACCUAGUGCCGUCGUUGGUAUUGGCCAGCUGUUGGUUGAUGGUAUUCUAGGACUGGCUAAAAUUAAUUACCGGUCGGCGAUGCUACUGCUUUGGGUACUUUCAG